rnacentral:rRNA from 1 species
GAUGAACGCUAGCUCCAGGCUUAACACAUGCAAGUCGCGGGACCGGCGCACGGGUGAGUAACGCGUAUCCACCCUGCCCUUCACCACGGGAUAACCCGGCGACAGUCGGACUAAUACCGUAUGGUGGCGGUUGGGGAUGCGUCCGAUUAGCUUGACGGCGGGGGAACGGCCCACCGUGGCUACGAUCGGUAGGGGUUCUGAGAGGAAGGUCCCCCACACUGGAACUGAGACACGGUCCAGACUCCUACGGGAGGCAGGAGUGAGGAAUAUUGGUCAAUGGGCGUAAGCCUGAACCAGCCAAGUAGCGUGCAGGACGACGGCCUAUGGGUUGUAAACUGCUUUUAUGCGGGGAUAGGUACCGCAUGAAUAAGGACCGGCUAAUUCCGUGCCAGCAGCCGCGGUAAUAC